CCGCGGCCGGUGUUUUUCCGAAGUGAUGUGAUCAGCGGAUUAGUCGGUGAGUGCCGCUCGCAGAAAAAACCCCGACAGCC
rnacentral:sRNA from 1 species